rnacentral:rRNA from 1 species
AACGAACGCUGGCGGCAUGCCUAACACAUGCAAGUCGAACGAGACCUUCGGGUCUAGUGGCGCACGGGUGCGUAACGCGUGGGAACCUGCCCUUAGGUUCGGAAUAACUCCCCGAAAGGGGUGCUAAUACCGGAUAAUGUCUUCGGACCAAAGAUUUAUCGCCUUUGGAUGGGCCCGCGUUGGAUUAGCUAGUUGGUAGGGUAAAAGCCUACCAAGGCGACGAUCCAUAGCUGGUCUGAGAGGAUGAUCAGCCACACUGGGACUGAGACACGGCCCAAACUCCUACGGGAAGCAGCAGUGGGGAAUAUUGGACAAUGGGCGAAAGCCUGAUCCAGCAAUGCCGCGUGAGUGAUGAAGGCCUUAGGGUUGUAAAGCUCUUUUACCCGGGAUGAUAAUGACAGUACCGGGAGAAUAAGCUCCGGCUAACUCCGUG